rnacentral:rRNA from 1 species
ACGAGCGCUGGCGGCGUGCCUAACGCAUGCAAGUCAACUUGACGGAAGGAGCAAUCUGACCGUAGAGUGGCGCAAGGGUGCGUAACGCGUAAGUAACUUGCCCAAGGUAAGGAAUAACGUCGAGAAAUCGGCGCUAAUACCUCAUAAUGCAGCGGAUCCGCAUGGAUAUGUUGUUAAAGGUUUACCGCCUUGGGAUAGGCUUGCGUCUGAUUAGCUAGUUGGUGUGGUAACGGCACACCAAGGCUACGAUCAGUAACUGGUCUGAGAGGAUGAUCAGUCACACUGGAACUGAGACACGGUCCAGACUCCUACGGGAGGCAGCAGUGAGGAAUAUUGGGCAAUGCUCGAAAGAGUGACCCAGCAACGCCGCGUGGAGGAUGAAGGUAUUCUAUAUCGUAAACUCCUGUGAGAGCAGACGAAAGACAGAUUAUUAAUCUGGAUGACUGUAUGCUCAGAGGAAGCCCCGGCUAACUACGUG